GACGAACGCUGGCGGCGUGCUUAACACAUGCAAGUCGAACGGAAAGGCCCUGCUUUUGUGGGGUGCUCGAGUGGCGAACGGGUGAGUAACACGUGAGUAACCUGCCCUUGCCUUUGGGAUAACUUCAGGAAACUGGGGCUAAUAAAGGAUAGGAGCUCCUGCUGCAUGGUGGGGGUUGGAAAGUUUCGGCGGUUGGGGAUGGACUCGCGGCUUAUCAGCUUGUUGGUGGGGUAGUGGCUUACCAAGGCUUUGACGGGUAGCCGGCCUGAGAGGGUGACCGGCCACAUUGGGACUGAGAUACGGCCCAGAGUCCUACGGGAGGCAGCAGGGGGGAAUGUUGCACAAUGGGCGGAAGCCUGAUGCAGCAACGCCGCGUGCGGGAUGACGGCCUUCGGGUUGUAAACCGCUUUCGCCUGUGACGAAGCGUUAGUGACGGUAAUGGGUAAAGAAGCACCGGCUAACUACGUG
rnacentral:rRNA from 1 species